AUAAUGGGUCAGCGACUUAUAUUCUGUAGCAAGGUUAACCGAAUAGGGGAGCCGAAGGGAAACCGAGUCUUAACUGGGCGUUAAGUUGCAGGGUAUAGACCCGAAACCCGGUGAUCUAGCCAUGGGCAGGUUGAAGGUUGGGUAACACUAACUGGAGGACCGAACCGACUAAUGUUGAAAAAUUAGCGGAUGACUUGUGGCUGGGGGUGAAAGGCCAAUCAAACCGGGAGAUAGCUGGUUCUCCCCGAAAGCUAUUUAGGUAGCGCCUCGUGAAUUCAUCUCCGGGGGUAGAGCACUGUUUCGGCAAGGGGGUCAUCCCGACUUACCAACCCGAUGCAAACUGCGAAUACCGGAGAAUGUUAUCACGGGAGACACACGGCGGGUGCUAACGUCCGUCGUGAAGAGGGAAACAACCCAGACCGCCAGCUAAGGUCCCAAAGUCAUGGUUAAGUGGGAAACGAUGUGGGAAGGCCCAGACAGCCAGGAUGUUGGCUUAGAAGCAGCCAUCAUUUAAAGAAAGCGUAAUAGCUCACUGGUCGAGUCGGCCUGCGCGGAAGAUGUAACGGGGCUAAACCAUGCACCGAAGCUGCGGCAGCGACGCUUAUGCGUUGUUGGGUAGGGGAGCGUUCUGUAAGCCUGUGAAGGUGUGCUGUGAGGCAUGCUGGAGGUAUCAGAAGUGCGAAUGCUGACAUAAGUAACGAUAAAGCGGGUGAAAAGCCCGCUCGCCGGAAGACCAAGGGUUCCUGUCCAACGUUAAUCGGGGCAGGGUGAGUCGACCCCUAAGGCGAGGCCGAAAGGCGUAGUCGAUGGGAAACAGGUUAAUAUUCCUGUACUUGGUGUUACUGCGAAGGGGGGACGGAGAAGGCUAUGUUGGCCGGGCGACGGUUGUCCCGGUUUAAGCGUGUAGGCUGGUUUUCCAGGCAAAUCCGGAAAAUCAAGGCUGAGGCGUGAUGACGAGGCACUACGGUGCUGAAGCAACAAAUGCCCUGCUUCCAGGAAAAGCCUCUAAGCAUCAGGUAACAUCAAAUCGUACCCCAAACCGACACAGGUGGUCAGGUAGAGAAUACCAAGGCGCUUGAGAGAACUCGGGUGAAGGAACUAGGCAAAAUGGUGCCGUAACUUCGGGAGAAGGCACGCUGAUAUGUAGGUGAAGUCCCUCGCGGAUGGAGCUGAAAUCAGUCGAAGAUACCAGCUGGCUGCAACUGUUUAUUAAAAACACAGCACUGUGCAAACACGAAAGUGGACGUAUACGGUGUGACGCCUGCCCGGUGCCGGAAGGUUAAUUGAUGGGGUUAGCGCAAGCGAAGCUCUUGAUCGAAGCCCCGGUAAACGGCGGCCGUAACUAUAACGGUCCUAAGGUAGCGAAAUUCCUUGUCGGGUAAGUUCCGACCUGCACGAAUGGCGUAAUGAUGGCCAGGCUGUCUCCACCCGAGACUCAGUGAAAUUGAACUCGCUGUGAAGAUGCAGUGUACCCGCGGCAAGACGGAAAGACCCCGUGAACCUUUACUAUAGCUUGACACUGAACAUUGAGCCUUGAUGUGUAGGAUAGGUGGGAGGCUUUGAAGUGUGGACGCCAGUCUGCAUGGAGCCGACCUUGAAAUACCACCCUUUAAUGUUUGAUGUUCUAACGUUGACCCGUAAUCCGGGUUGCGGACAGUGUCUGGUGGGUAGUUUGACUGGGGCGGUCUCCUCCUAAAGAGUAACGGAGGAGCACGAAGGUUGGCUAAUCCUGGUCGGACAUCAGGAGGUUAGUGCAAUGGCAUAAGCCAGCUUGACUGCGAGCGUGACGGCGCGAGCAGGUGCGAAAGCAGGUCAUAGUGAUCCGGUGGUUCUGAAUGGAAGGGCCAUCGCUCAACGGAUAAAAGGUACUCCGGGGAUAACAGGCUGAUACCGCCCAAGAGUUCAUAUCGACGGCGGUGUUUGGCACCUCGAUGUCGGCUCAUCACAUCCUGGGGCUGAAGUAGGUCCCAAGGGUAUGGCUGUUCGCCAUUUAAAGUGGUACGCGAGCUGGGUUUAGAACGUCGUGAGACAGUUCGGUCCCUAUCUGCCGUGGGCGCUGGAGAACUGAGGGGGGCUGCUCCUAGUACGAGAGGACCGGAGUGGACGCAUCACUGGUGUUCGGGUUGUCAUGCCAAUGGCACUGCCCGGUAGCUAAAUGCGGAAGAGAUAAGUGCUGAAAGCAUCUAAGCACGAAACUUGCCCCGAGAUGAGUUCUCCCUGACUC
rnacentral:rRNA from 1 species